ensembl:lncRNA
AUGCCCCAUAUAUGCCAUGCAUGGAGCAAAAGGUAUUCAACUUGUUCUACAUUUCACCUGAAUUUCAUUCAGUCACUCAUCUUGAAUACACUAAGCUUUUGCCUUACUUUACAGGAUGGGAUGUUCACUCUCAGCAUGGCAAUAGAGAGCGAGUUUAAUCUGUCCUGCCCAGCACUUUCGCAUAGUUUUCCUAUAAGUGCACCUGAUCUUGUACGUGAAAAUGAACGCAUUUCUGUACCUCAUGCUCUGAUUUCAACAAAACUCCCUCCCACCACAAUUACUACAACUACUAAAACCACUCAGCCAAAAUGGGCUCAUACAAGUUCAAGGACUUCCACAAGUUCAGUUCAAAAGUUGGCUACUCCUCCCUUCCCUUAUUACAUCCCUGGCCAACCUGUUCCUCCUAAUUACCCUUUCCUCCUUUUUCCUCCAAACAUACCACCAACGAUUCUUCCUCAAGGUUCCAAAAUUGUGGGUCCCCCAACUGCUAUUACCCAGAGGCCACAAGCACCGGUUUACACAAAACGUCCUCAAACUUGGUACCCUUGGUACCCUAAGCCCAGCUUGGUUCUUACCCAUGACCCCAGUCAUCAAAGUGUAGCUGGGCCACAUUAUCCAAGAAAACCUCUGGUAGCCCCAAUCACUCCCCGACUAAAACCCACAGGUAAUCCUCAAGAUAAGUUGACUUUCACCACUCCCAUUGCCCCUCCUUUGCAGUGGACUUCACCUAUGUUUCCUCCCAGGAAUAUGGUAUAUCCUUUAUAUCCUGGAAAAUCUGAAUUUGUGUCUCCCCCCUCAGCGGUCUUUCCUCGAGUUCCCUACCUACCUCAUCACUCCCAAACCCUACAAAGACCGUCUGAACCACAUUCUCCACCAAAACCAGAGUCUAAACCACCUAUACCUGCCCCUACAAGAAAGACAGGACCGCAGCUCCUCCACUCACUGUGGUACAAACCCUUCCUGCCACAUCGUUCAGAAAUGCCAUCUGUUCCUACAAAAGUUCUGCGGAGUAAUACAGUUUCCACCUCUGGGGCUGUUACUUCCAGUUCAACCACAUAUUCAGAAGAGUCUGAACAAGCUGUAAAACCACGAGCUUUUGGGCUUCCGUACCAAUCAGUUGUAAAGCUUCCUCCUAAGAACUUUCAAUUUGCUUUAACCCCAAGCAUUAAUUCUACCCCUUCACUUCCCAAAUUUCCUCAAGUUGUUCACACCCCUACCCCAAUAAAAGCUGCCUCGACUCUAAUUAGUUCAUCCCAUGCACAUUCUUUUCACUGUCCAACUUUCUGCCCUAGACCCCCUUCAAUUUUCUACCACCACCACAACCAUCACCAUUUUGCUCAUCCUGCUCAAAUGUCUAAUCUUGACAUUUCUAGUAUGAUCAAAAUUAAAGGCCAAAUGUUGUCAUCUCCUGUUGAAUCUCCUGGUUCAGCCCUUCUUCCCCUUAUUCAGGCUAUGGGUUAUAAUUAUGGCCCACUUUCCUCAAAACAUACAGUUGUAUCACCAGCUUCAGAUUAUACAGCAAUGCAAUAUUUGGUGGAGAAUCCCCUCAUUAAGGAUACCGAUGCCCCUGGUACUUCAAAGUAUUUGACAGGGCCAACCAUGUGGCCCUACAUUUUUAGGAAGAUGGAAUCAACUGCUGCCUCUCCACGGUCUACAAUGAAACCUGCGAAUGUUGCUCCUGUUAUACAUCCUUCGGGACCUUCUAAGCUGCAUUCUAGACUCUUACAAAAUAGACCAGUUGCUGAACCUCUUGCUUAUUCAGACCGAAGCCCAGACCCUGCAGUCAGCCAGGCUGAGAUACAGCAGUAUUUCUCCCUGUGGGGCCAUGACACGCAGCCAAUGUUAGUUGCUCCAACUAAUGCUCCCUCUUUUGAGAAAAUGGUCCAACAUGACAUUUCUUCCAAACCUACAAUGCCUCCAACUCAUGGCAAAAAUGUAUUUAUGAAUUACUUGUAUCAAGCUGCUAAUUCGAAUGCUAAGUCCCCCAUGUCUAAUUUUCCCACAAAAGACUUUUUUUCCCAGAUGCUGUUGCCUCAGCCCUCCAAUAAUCACAAUCCAUCUGAGCCGUCAAAUCAGCCACCUCAACCAGAGCAAAGUCUUGGUAAGAACCCUCCACUGCAGCUGAAUUUUCAUCCCUUGAAGCAGAUUCACAACUCUGUGCCAGUAAUUAGCCCUCAGCGGCAUUUCCCUCCAAGUGGAGAAUCUGUGGUUCCUGCGUUUAGGAGCCCAAAAUUAUUUGAGACUCGCUGGGUUCCUGCGGUUCAAUCUAAUGAGGAUGCAUCUGCUGCACACUGA